GACGAACGCUGGCGGCGUGCUUAACACAUGCAAGUCGAACGGAAAGGCCCUGCUUUUGUGGGGUGCUCGAGUGGCGAACGGGUGAGUAACACGUGAGUAACCUGCCCUUUACUUUGGGAUAACUUCAGGAAACUGGGGCUAAUACCGGAUAGGAGCUCCUGCUGCAUGGUGGGGGUUGGAAAGUUUCGGCGGUUGGGGAUGGACUCGCGGCUUAUCAGCUUGUUGGUGGGGUAGUGGCUUACCAAGGCUUUGACGGGUAGCCGGCCUGAGAGGGUGACCGGCCACAUUGGGAAUGGGAAACGGCCCAGCCCCCGAGGGGAGGCAGAGGGGGGGAAUAAUGCACAAGGGGCGGAAGCAGGAUGAAGCAACGCCGGGGGGGGGAUGCCGGCCUUCGGGUUGAAAACCGAUUUCGCCUGUGACGAAGCGUGGGUGGGGGAAAGGGGUAAAGAAGCACCGGAAAAUUACUA
rnacentral:rRNA from 1 species